UGUUAGGGAAACAUCAGGAAAAUUAUUCAAGUCCUAAGUUGUGGUUAGUGAAAUUUUGCUAUUUAAGAUCAAAAUUCCUGGGAUUGUAACUUACUGUUGUUUUGAGUUUUGAUUGCAUGGAUAGUUUUCUGAAUUGCCAUGAAGCCAAUGUUAGAAAAUGAUAUGUUCCACAGCCUGGGAACUGAUAAAAGUGGAUGUUUUUGCCUGGAAAAAGUUUUGGGGACAAAGACCCCAAAGGCCCAAGUCAAUUGACAUAUCUGUGUUCCAAUUGUAAGCCGAUCUUCCUCCUGGAGAAUAGAAGAAUGUCUCUCCAUAUUUCAGGAUUUUAGGAAGAAUGAAGUGUUCCUAAAGGAAAAAGAAAACUUUGGAAGAAGGCAACAGAGAAAUGGUGAAGACUGGGUCCUCAAGAGUUGAAGGGACAUCAACAUAUAUAUUAAAGUCUUCAAUAUGAGAGCAGAGGGUGGAGUGAAGAAAAAGAAGACUGAGUCAGCUACUAUACUCUUUGAGAAUGGAGGGGAAAUGACUUGGAGGCCAGUACAUGACUAACACCCAAAUCUGGAUAGGUUAAUAUAGAGAAAUGGAGAGAAUCUCUCCAGUGUCCUUUGGGUGUCCCACAACUUUAAUUCCUAGAGGAUUAUGGUAUUUCAUCAUUCACUGCCACAUAGCAUCACCAAACUUUUUUGUUGUUAAAAAGGCAGAUCUUUGAUUCAGACACAAGCCUGGAGUCAUUAAAAGUACUUAAAAAAUUUCCCCAAUACAAUCCAGCAAGCUAUCCUCAUCCUAUUUAAUUCUGGGCCAAGUCUAUUGCUUAUCCGUGACAUAUUACAUUAGGUACUGAUGUAACAACUCUAUGUAACAACUCCAUAUAACUGCAGGUUGUAAUCUUGAAAACAGGUUCAUGUCAGUUUGAAGGCAGGUGCCUUCAAGUACCUGUACUUGGCUUUGUGUUAUAUAAGAUUUUUUUAUUCAUGAUUUGGUAAAAAAUAAAUGACAUGCUUAUUAAAC